UAAGGGCGCACGGUGGAUGCCUUGGCACUAGAAGCCGAUGAAGGACGUUACUAACGACGAUAUGCUUUGGGGAGCUGUAAGUAAGCUUUGAUCCAGAGAUUUCCGAAUGGGGAAACCCAGCAUGAGUUAUGUCAUGUUAUCGAUAUGUGAAUACAUAGCAUAUCAGAAGGCACACCCGGAGAACUGAAACAUCUUAGUACCCGGAGGAA
rnacentral:rRNA from 1 species